UUAAAUCCGGAUACUCCAAAGCAAAAUCCUCCAAUUGAAAGACCUCCAACACUAAAUCCCAAUACACCAUACUAAAUUCCAAAUGUCCAAAACCCACCAAUUCAAGAAGAAGGAUAUGCUAGGGAAAACCGAAGGGAAGGGUAUGGAAUGUACGAUGAUCCUUACUUGAUGGAAGAUGGGAUGAGAGGUAGAAGGGUUGAACAAAGGGAAAAUGAGGGCUUGGAGGUAGGGGCGGCCAAGGUGCUUGGGAAUGGGAUGUUGGUCAUAACACUAUAAAAAUGGGACUUCUAAUCUUUCGGAGAGAAAGUGAUCCCGAAGAGUUUCUUGCAU
rnacentral:lncRNA from 1 species